rnacentral:rRNA from 1 species
GAUGAACGCUGGCGGCGUGCCUAAUACAUGCAAGUCGAGCGAACGGACGAGAAGCUUGCUUCUCUGAUGUUAGUGGCGGACGGGCGAGUAACACGUGGAUAACCUACCUAUAAGACUGGGAUAACUUCGGGAAACCGGAGCUAAUACCGGAUGAUAUUUUGAACCGCAUGGUUCAAAAGUGAAAGACGGUCUUGCUGUCACUUAUAGAUGGAUCCGCGCUGGAUUAGCUAGUUGGUAAGGUAACGGCUUACCAAGGCGACGAUGCAUAGACGACCUGAGAGGGGGGGAGGCCACGAGGGGAGGGGGACACGGGACAGACGACUACGGGAGGGAGCAGUAGGGAAUCUUCGGCAAUGGACGAAAGGCGGACAGAGCAAGGCGGAGUGAGGGAAGAAGGUGUUCGGAUCGUAAAGCUCUGUUGUAGGAGAAGAACGGGAGUGAGAGUGGAAAGUUCACACUGUGACGGUAUAUAACCAGAAAGAGACGGCUAACUAAGUG